rnacentral:rRNA from 1 species
AGUGAACGCUGGCGGCAGGCCUAACACAUGCAAGUCGAACGGCAGCACAGUAAGAGCUUGCUCUUACGGGUGGCGAGUGGCGUACUGGUGAGGAAUACAUCCGGAUCUACUUUUUCGUGGGGGAUAACGUAGGCAAACUUACCCUAUUACCUCAUACGACCUACGGGUGACAGCAGGGGACCUUCGGACCUUGCGCGAUUGAAUGAGCCGAUGUCGGAUUAGCUAGUUGGCGGGGUAAAGGCCCACCAAGGCGACGAUCCGUAGCUGGUCUGAGAGGAUGAUCAGCCACACUGGAACUGAGACACGGUCCAGACUCCUACGGGAGGCAGCAGUGGGGAAUAUUGGACAAUGGGCGCAAGCCUGAUCCAGCCAUGCCGCGUGGGUGAAGAAGGCCUUCGGGUUGUAAAGCCCUUUUGUUGGGAAAGAAAAGCAGCAGGUUAAUACCCCGCUGUUAUGACGGUACCAAAAGAAUAAGCACCGGCUAACUUCGUG